rnacentral:rRNA from 1 species
ACGGAGGGUGCAAGCGUUAUCCGGAUUUACUGGGUUUAAAGGGUGCGUAGGCUGAUAGGUAAGUCAGUGGUGAAAUCCUGGAGCUUAACUCCAGAACUGCCAUUGAUACUAUCUAUCUUGAAUAUUGUGGAGGUUUGCGGAAUAUGUCAUGUAGCGGUGAAAUGCUUAGAUAUGACAUGGAACACCUAUUGCGAAGGCAGCAGGCUACACAUAUAUUGACGCUGAGGCACGAAAGCGUGGGGAUCAAACAG